rnacentral:rRNA from 1 species
CGCGCAGGCUGUCUCUUAAGUCAGAUGUGAAAGCCCGGGGCUCAACCCCGGAAGUGCAUUUGAAACUAAGGGACUUGAGUAUGGGAGAGGGAAGUGGAAUUCCUGGUGUAGCGGUGAAAUGCGUAGAUAUCAGGAGGAACACCGGUGGCGAAGGCGACUUCCUGGACCAAUACUGACGCUGAGGCGCGAAGGCGUGGGGAGCAAACA